UGGUGCCUUCGGGAACUGUGAGACAGGUGCUGCAUGGCUGUCGUCAGCUCGUGUUGUGAAAUGUUGGGUUAAGUCCCGCAACGAGCGCAACCCUUAUCCUUUGUUGCCAGCGGUUAGGCCGGGAACUCAAAGGAGACUGCCAGUGAUAAACUGGAGGAAGGUGGGGAUGACGUCAAGUCAUCAUGGCCCUUACGACCAGGGCUACACACGUGCUACAAUGGCGCAUACAAAGAGAAGCGACCUCGC
rnacentral:rRNA from 1 species